rnacentral:rRNA from 1 species
GACGAACGCUGGCGGCGUGCCUAAUACAUGCAAGUAGAACGCACAGUUUAUACCGUAGCUUGCUACACCAUAGACUGUGAGUUGCGAACGGGUGAGUAACGCGUAGGUAACCUGCCUGGUAGCGGGGGAUAACUAUUGGAAACGAUAGCUAAUACCGCAUAAUAUUAAUUAUUGCAUGAUAAUUGAUUGAAAGGUGCAAUUGCACCACUACCAGAUGGACCUGCGUUGUAUUAGCUAGUAGGUGAGGUAACGGCUCACCUAGGCGACGAUACAUAGCCGACCUGAGAGGGUGAUCGGCCACACUGGGACUGAGACACGGCCCAGACUCCUACGGGAGGCAGCAGUAGGGAAUCUUCGGCAAUGGACGAAAGUCUGACCGAGCAACGCCGCGUGAGUGAAGAAGGUUUUCGGAUCGUAAAGCUCUGUUGUAAGAGAAGAACGGGUGUGAGAGUGGAAAGUUCACACUGUGACGGUAUCUUACCAGAAAGGCGG